rnacentral:rRNA from 1 species
GUCUACGGCCAUACCACCCUUAACAUGCCCGAUCUUGUCUGAUCUUGGAAGCUAAGCAGGGUUGGGUCUGGUUAGUACCUGAAUGGGAGACAUUUACCUUUUUUUUUUUUUGAGACAGAGUCUUGCUCUGUUGCCC